rnacentral:rRNA from 1 species
UAGGGAAUCUUCCACAAUGGGCGCAAGCCUGAUGGAGCAACACCGCGUGAGUGAAGAAGGGUUUCGGCCCGUAAAGCUCUGUUGUUAAAGAAGAACACGUAUGAGAGUAACUGUUCAUACGUUGACGGUAUUUAACCAGAAAGUCACGGCUAACUACGUGCCAG